UCUUUAAAAAAAAAAAACUGUUCUUUUAGAUGAUAUUAGUAUUUUUUAAUUCAAAAUUUAUAUAUUAAAAUGUUCCAUAAUAUGUGAAUGUUCUAGAAUUGAAACAUCUCAUCUAAAUAUUUAGUUUUUUAAAUAAAGUAAUAAGUGCCUGUAGUAAAACUCAAUACAGAGAGGUAUAAAAUGGGCAGUGAAGUUCUCCCUCCCUUAUCUUUAGUCCUUCCACGAAAAGAUAAGUUUUCUUGCAUAUACUCCCACAAAAAGGUGAUAUAUAUGCCAUGCUUUAUGCCUAGGAGAAAACAUAAGUGUGUAUUUACAUAUCCACAUUUUAAAAGACAAAUAAGAAUUUACAUAGCCCUUGUGUUGUGAAAAGUGCAUGUAAAACCACUAAUCUAUCCUUUCCUGUGUUAGAAUUUUUCUCUUUUGCCAAGACCGACAGACAGCAUAGCCCAGGGCAUUCUUCACUCUGAGAAGAGGUCAUCAGUUUUGCCCCAGAUUUAAAACAUAGAAGUUGGACAAAAGGCUUGAGCUGUUUUGUAAUGAAUUAAUAGAGAAACUAUCAUUAGGGGUGGAUUCUUUCAUCCUGGGGUGCUAUAUAGCCCCAGGAUUGUAACCCCAUUUGUGUUCUACUAAGCUAGUUGCAGUAUUUUCUACAAAUAAGUGGGAGGGAAAUGGUGAAUAAAUGAUUUGCGGGCUAGCAGUCCCAGUAGGGAGUGAAUGUUUGCAUUUACCAACAGAGGGCACCAGUCGCAAGGCUAAGAAAUUCCCAGUCUCACUCCAGAACUCUUGUCCAGUACGUCGCCAACCUGUGACCUUUAUUGCCUUUUCCAUUUUGACUUUGGAGUAAGAGCUCUUAACCUAGCUUGGAGCAGUCAAAACACCCAAAUCCCUCUUAACAAAGGCUUUUGUUCCACACUUGCCCUUGAAUUAAGAAUAAGAAUGGCUUUCAAAGGAAAUGGUGUCGUGUCCCCUCCUGGUCCUGUCCCUACUCCCUACUCCCCCCCCACCUCGGCAUUUAACAAAUCCAAGAGCAUAGGAUAGUCAUGGCCAAAUAACCUUGAUAAGUCAUGGCCAAAUAACCUUGAUAGGGUUUGUAUCGGUGCUCUUCAGGAAACUACAAAAACUUGUUUGAGCACCUAACAUUACAAACAUCUCAUUUUUGUAAAAUGAUUUGCUGACCACUUGUGAACAUCAUAAAGCCAUUCAUUAGCUCACCCCCAUGUAUAAGGUAAAGGGAGAACGAUCCUCUCCUUUUUCUCUCCCCACACCAAAUAGCAGGACACGGCUGUGACUGAAAAGUUGAAAGCGUUUGCCCACAAGGUAUCAUUUAAUCUAAAACUCUGCUCCUCUCUUCCUCAGAGUUUAUCAAGUUAAUGAGCGUUUGGUUAUACUCGCAAAGUUUUAAUUACAGAAACAGAAUCAGUGUAAUCCUAGACAGCAGCUUACAGGGAUGGAAUUUCUCUUUCCAGCUGUUACUAUCAACAAAAGCUAGGGAACUCCCUGGCAUUACUAAUCCCGUGUAGAAUCCCAUUGGAGGCCGUUAGCUUAUUUUAGUAAUACCACUCAGCAGGCUUAUUGGACAGUAUAGGGAAUACUGUAAGCUCACACCCAUAUCAUUAUUUCUGUGGCUAAUGAAAGAAGUCUCCAGACAUCAAAGCCAGGUUUUAAUAACUCUCGAAGGUGGAAGAAGGUUUAAUAAUGUGCUAAAUUGAGAUGAAUAAACAUGAUUUUCCUACCCAUUAUUGGGAACAGAGAUCAGCAAGCCUCACCAAUUUCCAGAAAAAAACAGUUCUGAGAAACCAGUUAGGGAUACUAUUUUUUUUUUAAGAAUUGAAGUAUAAUUGACAAAGGGAUACUCACUUUGGUUUGAAAUCCGCCUCAUUUUUUUUUCUUGUAGAACACAGAUGGUUCUCAGAUUUUUU